AAGCAGUGGGAGCACCUUCGUGGUGUGACUGCGUACCUUUUGUAUAAUGGGUCAGCGACUUAUAUUCUGUAGCAAGGUUAACCGUAUAGGGGAGCCGAAGGGAAACCGAGUCUUAACUGGGCGUUAAGUUGCAGGGUAUAGACCCGAAACCCGGUGAUCUAGCCAUGGGCAGGUUGAAGGUUGGGUAACACUAACUGGAGGACCGAACCGACUAAUGUUGAAAAAUUAGCGGAUGACUUGUGGCUGGGGGUGAAAGGCCAAUCAAACCGGGAGAUAGCUGGUUCUCCCCGAAAGCUAUUUAGGUAGCGCCUCGUGAACUCAUCUUCGGGGGUAGAGCACUGUUUCGGCUAGGGGGCCAUCCCGGCUUACCAACCCGAUGCAAACUACGAAUACCGAAGAAUGUUAUCACGGGAGACACACGGCGGGUGCUAACGUCCGUCGUGAAGAGGGAAACAACCCAGACCGCCAGCUAAGGUCCCAAAGUCAUGGUUAAGUGGGAAACGAUGUGGGAAGGCACAGACAGCCAGGAUGUUGGCUUAGAAGCAGCCAUCAUUUAAAGAAAGCGUAAUAGCUCACUGGUCGAGUCGGCCUGCGCGGAAGAUGUAACGGGGCUAAACCAUGCACCGAAGCUGCGGCAGCGACACUAUGUGUUGUUGGGUAGGGGAGCGUUCUGUAAGCCGUUGAAGGUGUGCUGUGAGGCAUGCUGGAGGUAUCAGAAGUGCGAAUGCUGACAUAAGUAACGAUAAAGCGGGUGAAAAGCCCGCUCGCCGGAAGACCAAGGGUUCCUGUCCAACGUUAAUCGGGGCAGGGUGAGUCGACCCCUAAGGCGAGGCCGAAAGGCGUAGUCGAUGGGAAACAGGUUAAUAUUCCUGUACUUGGUGUUACUGCGAAGGGGGGACGGAGAAGGCUAUGUUAGCCGGGCGACGGUUGUCCCGGUUUAAGCAUGUAGGCGGAGGUUCCAGGUAAAUCCGGUACCUUUUAACGCUGAGGUGUGAUGACGAGGCACUACGGUGCUGAAGUAACAAAUGCCCUGCUUCCAGGAAAAGCCUCUAAGCAUCAGGUAACAUCAAAUCGUACCCCAAACCGACACAGGUGGUCAGGUAGAGAAUACCAAGGCGCUUGAGAGAACUCGGGUGAAGGAACUAGGCAAAAUGGUGCCGUAACUUCGGGAGAAGGCACGCUGAUAUGUAGGUGAAGCCCCUGCGGGUGGAGCUGAAAUCAGUCGAAGAUACCAGCUGGCUGCAACUGUUUAUUAAAAACACAGCACUGUGCAAACACGAAAGUGGACGUAUACGGUGUGACGCCUGCCCGGUGCCGGAAGGUUAAUUGAUGGGGUUAGCGGCAACGCGAAGCUCUUGAUCGAAGCCCCGGUAAACGGCGGCCGUAACUAUAACGGUCCUAAGGUAGCGAAAUUCCUUGUCGGGUAAGUUCCGACCUGCACGAAUGGCGUAAUGAUGGCCAGGCUGUCUCCACCCGAGACUCAGUGAAAUUGAACUCGCUGUGAAGAUGCAGUGUACCCGCGGCAAGACGGAAAGACCCCGUGAACCUUUACUAUAGCUUGACACUGAACACUGGUCCUUGAUGUGUAGGAUAGGUGGGAGGCUUUGAAGUGUGGACGCCAGUCUGCAUGGAGCCGUCCUUGAAAUACCACCCUUUAAUGGCUGGUGUUCUAACGUAGACCCGUGAUCCGGGUUGCGGACAGUGUCUGGUGGGUAGUUUGACUGGGGCGGUCUCCUCCCAAAGAGUAACGGAGGAGCACGAAGGUUAGCUAAUCCUGGUCGGACAUCAGGAGGUUAGUGCAAUGGCAUAAGCUAGCUUGACUGCGAGAGUGACGGCUCGAGCAGGUGCGAAAGCAGGUCAUAGUGAUCCGGUGGUUCUGAAUGGAAGGGCCAUCGCUCAACGGAUAAAAGGUACUCCGGGGAUAACAGGCUGAUACCGCCCAAGAGUUCAUAUCGACGGCGGUGUUUGGCACCUCGAUGUCGGCUCAUCACAUCCUGGGGCUGAAGUAGGUCCCAAGGGUAUGGCUGUUCGCCAUUUAAAGUGGUACGCGAGCUGGGUUUAGAACGUCGUGAGACAGUUCGGUCCCUAUCUGCCGUGGGCGCUGGAGAAUUGAGGGGGGCUGCUCCUAGUACGAGAGGACCGGAGUGGACGCAUCACUGGUGUUCGGGUUGUCAUGCCAAUGGCACUGCCCGGUAGCUAAAUGCGGAAAAGAUAAGUGCUGAAAGCAUCUAAGCACGAAACUUGCCCCGAGAUGAGUUCUCCCUGAGACUUUAAGUCUCCUGAAGGAACGUUGAAGACGACGACGUUGAUAGGUCGGGUGUGUAAGCGCAGCGAUGCGUUGAGCUAACCGAUACUAAUGAACCGUGAGGCUUAACCUUACAACGCCGAAGGUGUUU
rnacentral:rRNA from 1 species